rnacentral:lncRNA from 1 species
ACUUCUGUCCAGACUCUUCUAGACUGUGGCCAAGGUUGCGCACUUCAUUUUAAGAGCCUUUGCUUGGGCUGUCUUGCUAUAUUCAGAGUUGUCUUUUCUAACUGUCUUGUCAGGUCCUUGACAGAAAUUGGCACUCUGAGGCAUUGAAAGUUCGUUUGCAGACCUGCGUGUCACUAGCUGCAGACCUGUAGUCCACGAGUACACAUAUGCAUAAAGAAGUGUGGUCAAAUUGUGCGUGCUAUGAAGAAACAUCUUAGUCUCCAAACAUGCUUGGAAAUGGAGUGUUUAUGUGUGCAUGUGUUGCAUUUGAGACGCACAGCCACAUUCCAAACACACUUGUAACACAACUUCAGGCUUCUGAAGGCUGCAGUAAAGGCUCGAGACAUAACAUGUAAUACUAGCCCCAUAAUUUCAUGUGCUUCACACCCGACUCAUAAAAGAUUGAUUGAGGGUGAUAGCACAGAGUAGCGAACACGUCUGUGGAAUCGCCAGGUUCGUCUUGAGCAUUUGCUGUCUGCCUCUGUCAGGUUCCGAGUACUGGUGAUGCCACUAAAGGUGGCAGAGAGCAUACAGUCUUCUGGCUUUGUUUGUAAUCUUUUGAUAGAGUAUGGAAUGAAGUGUACAGCCCCUCCCCCCCCUCCACCACCCGCCCUUGCCCAUUUUGCCCACAUUCUCUCUUUCUGCUGGCACGUUGAUGAUGGUGUUGAGAGCAGGACUUCCUGUGCUUCCAGGCAACCUGCAUAUACAGGGUUGCCACCCUCAAGAAAGAAGUACCCUUUCAUCACCGGGGAUUCCCCGACGGCUGUCGACCACCUGCAAGCAAACCGCCUCGCUCAUCAUCCAGUGCCUCACAAUGUGUGCACACGAGUUGACAACGAGCACUGCCUUCGGAUAUCCAAGCAAAUGUAUUCUCCUGGUUUUUGCUUGUGUCGUAGUUGUUAUUUAUUGUACGAAAGAAUUCCCUUUGUUUUUGCUUGAACUUCGACUGUGCCCCCUUGACUUUCUUUUUUUUCCCGCUCCUGGUAAAGGGAGACCAGUGUCGGGAAAACUCGCAAAACACUACAACGAAUGCUGUUGCUGUAGAUCCUUAUGCAUGUCUGUUCUACAAUGCCCUGUCACACCCUUGACUGUUGUGCAAAACACUUGUUUCAACAUCGAUGGAGUUGUACAUGCUGCCACUUGCAAAAAUUGUGCGGCGAUUGCCUCGAUACUGGUUGGUCUGCAAAGCAAACAUUAUUGGGUGGCAGAAAAUACGGCCAUAAAGGUGCAGCUCGAAAUAUCCCUGGAUCAUGAUUCUCCUGUCAUCGUCUUGGUUUAAAACCAUUGAGGUCCGUUAAGAGGAGUCAUUGUAAAAGUGAUUAAAAGUUGCAUGGCCCGUCUUGCCUGGCCAUGUUUUAACUGCAUUAGCUCUUUCGGGAUGCUAUGGCAUCUGUAAGAGCAGCAAGCAAUGCCACAGGCUUUCCGCAAUUUGCUUGAGCACCAAAGUUGGAUCAGCAUGUGUACCUGGUGACAACUUUGUGUGUGGCACUCCUCUACAGCCUCAACUUGAUGCUCACUUUUAGCGUCUUAAAUACAAUAUUUCCUUCUUUUUCUACAAAACAAAAAGUGCACAAGAAGAAGGAAACUUGAAGGGAUCAAUAACCUACAAGCAUGGCAAGUCUCGGCCUGAAGCAAUCAUUUCAAAAUGUUUAUUCAACGCAGAGGUUUCCCUUGUUCGCCCACUGUUUAGCCAUUCUUUAUCAACAUUUCCAUGUUUAACAACGUGUUUUCAUUUGACCCAAGCCUAAAUUUAUAGUCAAAGAAAGUGUGUGUGCAAAACAGAUUAAGGAACACGACACCGCCGCCCCUUGUUUCACCAUGAAUUUGCAAUUGUUCAAAUACCGUCAUCGUAUGAGUAGGACAUUAAGGAUUUCAUGAUUCAGGGUUUGUUGCUGUAGGAAAGUGGGAAAACUGUUACCAAAUUUCUUGGUAAAGCCCUUCCGUUUCUGCGAUGGUGGCAUUGUAACCAUCAAAACUGAAAGUGAUGGUGGCGCAAAGCUAGUUCCGACUGCUCCGCAAUUUAUAUGAGGGACGCUCCGAAAGUAAGUUUUGUCAUUUAUUUUCACAGGGAAAUUUUAUUGCCAAAAAAAAAUACACCAUGACAUCAUGAACUAUGCACCUUGCACUGUAAUUCUACAUAGUCACCACCGACAUUGAGACAUUUGUUGUAGCGUGCAAUCAGUUUGUAGAAACCACUCUGGUAAAACUCGGUGCCCUGCAAUGCAAGGCCCAAGACAUGACCUCUUCACCAUACGCGAUCUGUAGGCAUUCAUGGGUGAUGGACACACUAGUCCCAUGUGCCCAUUCAUCCCAGAUAACAGCAUGCGCUACCACUGGCGACCACGUUGUCAGCACAUGUUGUCUGCCAUUGUGGUUUGUACUCGAAUAAUUUUGAGCAAGCCGGUCUGCUGCUACUCUCUCUUCUUCGGCGCUCUGCGCAUGCGUCAUUCAUCUUCCGCUGAUGCUCCUUUCGUCGUUGAACCAGCAACGGCCAUGGGUUCUUAUGGGGAUUGUUUGUUUCACCUGGUGCACCAUCUUCUCUUAAAAAAAAAUGAUAAAACUUUCUUUCGAAACACCCCUCAUUCGUGUGAAGACACUUGACCCUAGAGUCCUUCCCUUUGCUGCUGCAGAAAGUCGUUCCUGGUGUAGUCCAGUGCAGAAAAUCUGGGUGCAAGGCAACUGCUGCAAGGCCUGGUGGAUUGUGCGAUUGCUUGCUGCUCAAUAGUCUUUUCAUUUUUGAAAACAGGCAAUAUGGGAAGAUGAGAAGGGGGACGCACUAGUCUUGUGGUGCUGAGCGUGACCAGCCGAAACAAUUAAUGCCUACAAAGCAAAAUGUCGCAUCACCCUGUCUCAUUUCUUGUAGUGUGUACAAACAGUGGUAGAGCAUGUGUGUGUUUUAUGUGUGUACAUAUAUACAUAUAUAGAUAUAGAUAUAUAUAAAUAUGCAUAACUGACGGUGGUAUGCCUAUUUCUUUGAAGAACUUGUUUGUGUGACACAGUGUGGUGAACGCUUGUAGGUGUCUGGUACUGAGGACACGUUGGACACUGUUUUUACAAAAUAUUUUGCCUUUGUUGUGCAUGUGCACCUCUGUCAGAUAAGACCAUUAGUUGUCUGGUACAACUUUUGGCUGGCUAACAUUUGACAAGCGUGAGGGCAGUUAUGUUGGCAUUUUUGUUUUUGUAUAGCUACUUGUACAGAAAGAACAGCAGACCUUGGGUCAAUUUCUUUGUUUUGGUCACGGCUGUAAGAGCCUGGUUUACAAUGUUAUGCUCUGUAUAAUAGUGUGUUCCUCGAAAAUGACAAGUUUCUCGCCUUUAUACAACUUUUUUCUCUUCCCACAUUUGGGUUCUCAAAAGUUUGAUGACAUGCAAGAAUUGAAACGGUCUGAAGGCAUAUAUGGUGCAUACUCUACUUGACUCUACUAGUAGCCUUCUUCACAACCAACUUUCUCUUUUCUUUUUCUUUUUGAACACUGGAGCUGGCUGGACAAAAACAUAUUUCCUGCGACUCCUGUGCAGCCAAGCAUUGUAUUGAGCGCUGCUUUGCGGCGGUCACGAACAAAACUGUGGAUUGCAGCUUUCGGUUCAUGUGCCAUCUGUGAAAAUUCUUUGCUCUCUUCUGGCUCCAGUGUUUUGCCAACUUUUGCGUUUGGGUGAUGCCUUUGUGGUGUGUCGGCAUGGCUAGACAAUCUAAACUAGCGAGUGCUAAGCAGCUAACAGGCGUCAAAUGUAACUUGGCGUCUUCUCUUGUGCCACUGCAGUGGCCAAGGCACACAGGUGCUUGUGCUACCUCGGCACCCAUACAGCUUGUGCCAAAAAUUUCUGAGGCCAUAAGAUGCCGAAAUUCCACAAUUGCCAUGCUUGUGUAGAGCAGGUUCUCUCAAUGUUAGGUGCUGUUGUUGGUGGUGUUAUAAUAAUAGCAUUGAACCUUCAGUUUCACCAUGACAUCUUAGGGCAUUUCUUAAGGCAUAGUUCACAGCUAGACUGCUUCACUUAUUCCUUGAUUUGUCCAAGACAUCAAGACAAGCUUGUCGGCGAUCCACACAACUUUUUCUACAUCACAGCCAACACACAAGUGAGGAAAAACAGACAUUAAAAGUGCCUUUUAUGUUUGUUUUCUAUGUGUUGUCAGUGCUGUAGAAAAUAAAAUAAAAUAUGAUCGUGCUAUUAGAUGGGGCACUGUAUGUGCUUAACUAGCUAUUUCACCAUGCAGGCUUCAUAGUGCAUGCAUGAUGCUUAUUUCUCGAAUCAUCAUCAUUCCACGAUUCCUCUUAUGCAGGUAGCACUGACAGCAUUCAUGAAAGCAUGGCAUGACGGGCACUAUAGUCGCUAGGAAAUGCAGCACAAGAAAAAUCAAGUGCCAUUGGCAGUGGCAUUCACAGUUUAUUGUUAGAAGGUAUGUGAAGGGGAUUCAGAUUUGUGCUUAUUUGCAAACCUGUGUAGUUAUGCAAAAAUGCAGCAGAAUGGAAACUUCCAAAUUGAACACGAUUUGUUUGAUCUCAAGUUGACAACUGUUUUCUGACUGCCAUCAUGUUUACAAACUGAAGGUUCAGUGCUACCAUGGUACAGCUCUGCACAACUGCAACUUUUGGAACUGGCUUGCCUUUACUGAAGGCAUCUGAAGACUUGAAUCCACUGUUACCUUUGUGAGCAUUGUUUUUGUAUUUCUUUAACUUACAUUGAACACUUUGGGUUUUUCUUUUGGUGUGUAGUGAAUACUGGUAAUGCCAAGGUUUCUAGGGCAUUGUUAUUUAUUGCCACAAUGGGCAGUCGAUCCGACGUGUUUACACAAAUAUCAGUUGAAGCGUGCUUCACUAGCCAGUUCCCUCCUCCAAGUUUGAGAGGUAAGAGCUGCGAAGAUGUUGCUGCAUAAAUUUUCAAGCCUUUCCUUUGCUUUGAUUGUUAUGAUUGUUAUUAUGUUUGGUAGACAUGAUUUACAUGCCAGCCCUAUGAAAUAUCUCGCGAAGGCCACACCUCGGAGGUGAUGGAAGAGCACAGUCGUAGAGUAGGGUUAGUCCUGGUUGUUGCACUGAAAACCCAAAGCUUUGUCUUUACCAUGAAGUUUAUUUAAACUCUAAGUUAUUUCUGCCAGAGCCAUCAACCUCUCUGUGUUUCUUGCACUUUUGCUGUUUUGCCUGGAAAAGAGAGGGUGGAUAAUUUGUUGUAUAUUACCUUCUGUAGUCCUAAGCCUUUGUGAUAAGAAUUAAAAGAUAUGGUGUCUGUUCAUGAAGUUUAAGGCAUUUUAUCGGUUUGAAGAUGCAGACCCAGGCAAAGCAAUAUUGGCUCUACGAACAGCAGAGCUUUGUGGCAGAUGCUAUAAGGAUGCGUGCAGAUUUGAAGUGUAAUCGUAACUUUGUUUGGCAGUGGCUAAUGGUGCAUAAGGAAAUGACACCUAUGUCUCUGAAUAAUUUUUGCAGACUGUUGUUUGGUUUGGUUUCGCAUUUUUUGCAUCUGAUAGUUGCAUCUGCACACCUUUCCAAGGAAGCCGUAAAUGUUGCCAUCACAAUGGGAUGGUAACUUGCAUUGCAAGAACAAAGUAGGUUGAAUUGCAAGGCUGAUGGAAUGGCAACUAUACGCAUACCUCUUGCCCUCGUUUGACAUUCUGGUCAUAAGGGAGUAUCUGAAUGUUGUCAUAAGCAAAUAAAUUGGUUGAAUUGCAGCUGAAGGGUUGAAGGAUUCCGUACUCCGCUGCUUUUACGCUUUCAUUCUGAUGGAGCUGUUUGUCGAGGCAUGUUAACUGAGGUAGUGUGAAAAAUUGAACAAAUAAAAAAAAGGCUAGGACAACAAGCACUGUUUACUGUAUGAACACAAAUGAAAACAAGCAUAUGUCUGAUCCGUGACAUGUUCUUGUCUCAAGAGAUGUGCCCAUUGCUCAUGUUUACUUUUUUUCUCUUGAUGCAGCUGUAUUUGCAAACCGAUUGUUUGUUAAAAGCCAGAAGUAAGCGUCUGACCAGUCUGCAGAGCAGUAGUGUUUAAUGUGUUAGUAUUCUCAUCCUAGGCCAAACUGGUGCAACAUUUCUACCACACUUUCAUUAUAUUUCAUGCUUAGUCACAGUCUUGAGCAGCUUUCUGCCUUUAUUGUCACCAGAAUAGGCUGUUGCAAGCAAUGUGUGACUAGAAUAGAAUAGGAUGAAAUAAAGGAAAUCACAUUAUCUCAUGUUAGUUCGCAAGUGGACAAUGCAUGCGAGUGAAAUAAAUUUCGGACAGUAAAGCUGCACAGGAGAAUUUAAGUCGGAAAAAGCGUCUGUCAAAGGUAUGGAAAGCAAACUAAAUCGCACUGGUAAAAAAAAAUCUUUGACUCUUUUGAUUUUUGUGUCAACAUGAAAUGCACAAACUGCACAUUCAUGCACCAACACUGGUGCAGUCUUAAUAAUCUUGGGCUAGGUGCCUGGUUUUAAUUGAAUUUUUCUUUCCCCAUCAGCAUUGAAGUCCAUGUACAUCCAUGCUUGACCAUGGGCGCAUGUUCACUGUUCUACAUAAAGCUCAUGUUAGAGGUAUUGCCUUUACUUUGGCAACUUCAAGUACACAUCUGUGAGCAGUGCCUCUUAUAAUAUGCAUGCCUGUCUGUCCCUCACAGAGAUGAUUUGGUAGACCUGAAAAUGUGCGAUGUUUUCUGUGUUAGCAAUAGGUGUUUCCUGAUGGACAUAUUUGUAAGCGUAUAAUCUUGUUAAGAUUUGUAGCCAUGUAAUUUGAAAAUGCAGGCUGGCAGUGUGUACCAGAAAUUUGUGCAGAAAACAGCUGUUCAUUGUAAACUCCACUUGUGGGUUGAAAAUUUGUGCCCGCCAUCACUUUGCCAACAAGAAGGAAAAUAAGUUUUUUUUUCAUGCCUUAUCACAUUUAAGAGCUCUUAAAAUGUCUUUUUUUAGUCUUUACUAUGCUUGUUUCUUUUGCAUUUUAUUUCUUUAGGAUUCAUUUACUAGCAGGUCUCUUGUUGCUAACAAACACUCCCACUGGCUAACUGUAUUUUAAGCCUGCGAAUACACUUUGCAGCAACAUGAAUAGAGAUGUGUGUAUAAUGCAAUCUUGUUGCUUUUUUGUUAGUUAUUGUUUCUUUGUCACCUAAGAACAAAAUAUUUAUAUUUACCUGCAAUUGUCUCCUUACUUUAUGCUUCCCCCAUUUCCUUUAGCUCUCCUGUUUGUCUUUGCCACAACAAUUUAAAAAUAUGCGCUAAAGGAAAGUGCAAGUCAGAUGCAGUUGUACAAUUCUCGUUAGUGAUGUCUAGCAGAUUGAACUUCAUGUCAACAUGAUAUGCACAGUCUGCACUUCAGUGCUUAGACACCACAGGGCAUCUUAAACUUUGGUCUAUUUGGCUAGAUUUCGUUUGUUUCUUGGAUUCAAAGAUACCGCUAAUUCCUGGGAGCAGAUUUUGUAACAAUUCCUUCUGUUGAUUAACGUUCCUUGUCAUACACUGCUGAAAGGCCGUUGCUGGAAAUGGUGGCAGCAUGGCAACGCGCGAGCCAGUGUUGAUGUGUGAAAAAAAAAAAGAAAAUCUGGGCUCUGAUGUGCAUUUCAAAUGUCUAAAUUAUGUUCCUCAAGCCAGCAGAGGGAACUUGUCAUGGCUGUCUGUUUGUUGAGCUUUGCUGGUUUUUCUGAAAUCAUACCAGCAUCUGAAGCUGGGAAUUCACGAGUUCAAUUCUGUGAAUUGCUAGAGUACUGCAACAUCUUCACAAAGAUAGUACAUCUCCACACAUAUAAGAGCUUUGUUGAAUAUAUGGAGUUUAUGACAUGUGUUUGGUAACCUAGUACUGUUGAUGAGACUUGCCGAGAUGUCCUUGUUUAUAUGUAUGUAUGCUAUGCGAGAAAUAUUGUUUUUUUUUAUGAAAGCUUCUCUGAUGCUUAGUCUGCUUGUCAAAGCAGCCACAAUUCAUUAUAUAUACUGUACACACAGAAUGAGUGCUCUUUAUUUGUAUAUUAUAUAACAUAUCAGGUGGAUUGCUCGUUAUUAGGCGUGCAGCCAAUGUUGAUGCACAUUCAUGCGCAAUUGUUUUUGCUGUCGUCUCAAACUGUAGUGCUUAUGCACUUGUAAGUGCAUAAAGAUGAGAGAGCACCUAUUAAAAUUUUAUCCAUUGA